rnacentral:rRNA from 1 species
AUGGCGGGGACCAUCUCCCGCAUCCGGCUGGAGAAUUUCAUGUGCCACUCCAGCUUGCACAUCGAGCUCGGCGAGCACGUCAACUUCAUCACCGGGCAGAACNNNNGCGGAAAGAGCGCGAUCUUGACGGCUCUGUGUAUCGCCUUCGGCUGCCGCGCCAAGAACACGCAGCGGGCCGCUACGAUUAAAGAUUUCAUCAAGACUGGCUGCAGUUAUGCCGCAAUUGCUGUUGACAUCAACAACCAAGGGGAAGACUCGUUCAAGCCUGAUUUAUACGGAAACUUAAUUAAACUGGAACGCAGGAUUACUGAGUCAUCGAGUUCUACGAUUUUAAAGGAUCAACAUGGUAGGAAGGUGGCAAAUCGCAAAGAUGAUCUUAAUGAGAUAAUCGAACAUUUUAAUAUCGAUGUUGAAAAUCCUUGUGUAAUUAUGAGUCAAGACAAAAGUAGAGAAUUCCUGCACUCAGGAAACGACAAGGAUAAGUUUAAGUUCUUUUUCAAGGCUACUCUUCUUCAACAAGUCAAUGAGUUACUGGAGACAAUAAGAGAUCAGCUGAACAAUGCAGACUCUGUUGUUCAAGAGUUGGAGAAGUCAAUUAAGCCAGUGAUGAGAGAACUUGAUGAACUACGAGAGAAGAUAAAGAAUAUGGAACACAUAGAAGAGAUAGCACAUGAUAUCGAUAAUUUGAAGAAAAAGUUAGCCUGGUCAUGGGUUUAUGAAGUCGACCAGCAAAUUGAGGAACAGACAGUGAGACUCCAGAAACUCAAAGAGCGAAUUCCUGCAUGCCAAGAAAGAAUUGACCGAAAUACAGUUGUUAUAGAUGACCUGAAGAAAGAGCUUACUGAAAAGGAAGAACUUGUAAGAUCUUUAGGCGAUAAGACUCAUGAAGUGACCAACAUGAAGAAAAGUAUGGAAGAUAAUAUUGCUGAGGUUGUGAAGUUGAAGAUAGAGCUAGAGGCAGAGCAUGAGCGUGGCACACGUACGCUGGAGAAAAUGAAUGGCCGGUUGAAACAAAUGCAGGCACAACUCCGUGAUUUCCAAAUGCAGCAUAUGCAAUUUACUCAAGCUGAGGCAUCUCAAAUUGAGGAAGACAUGCAGAACAUACAACGGGACAUUGAUUAUCUUGAUUCAAAUGUUACAAGGUUAAGAGAGGAAGAAAAAGAAUUUUCUGAAGAGUUAUCGGGCAUCCAAAAAUCUAUCAGUGACAUAGCAAAAGAGAUAGCUGAAAGUGAUAAAAGGAUACUCCAAUUGAAAUCUCACAUGGAUGGUCUUCAGCAGCGUCAAAGUAAUACGGUAACGGCAUUCGGGGGACAAAAACUUUUGAAACUCUUGCAAUUAAUAGAAUCAAACCACGGAAGAUUCAAAAGCCCGCCUAUUGGUCCGAUAGGGGCUCAUCUGCAACUCGCUAGUGAGUCCUGGUCUGUCGCGGUUGAUUGCGCAUGUGGAGGGCUUCUGGAUGCAUUUAUUGUCUCGUGUCAUAAGGAUUUACAAGUUUUGCGAGAAUGCGCGGGUAGAGUGUAUUACAAUAACCUUCGAAUUAUUGUGUAUGAUUUCACUAGACAGCGAUUGGUCAUUCCAGAUGGUUCACUUCCUACAACAGAGCACCCCACAGUACUAUCAGUUAUUCAGUCAGAGAACCACACUGUGCUGAAUGUAUUGGUGGAUCAGGGUCACGCUGAAAGGCAGGUCCUGGUUCGAGAUUAUGAAGUCGGAAAAUCUGUUGCAUUUGAUCACAGGAUGCGGAAUAUAAAGGAAGUCUAUACCUCUGAUGGGUUCAGAAUGUUUUCUAGAGGUUCUGUUCAGACUAUUCUUCCUCCAAACAAAAGGCCAAGACCUGAGCGUUGGUGCAGUUCACCCGCAGAAAAAAUAGCUGAACUGAAGAAUGAAGCUGACGGUAUUCAAAGAACAAUCUCGGAAAAGAAUGCUCAGAGAAGGAAGUUGGUUAAUGACCGAAGUAACCUUGAACAGAAAAUAGCAAAUUUGAAGAGAAAACGAGAACCUGAGGAGCGCCAUUUAAUGAAUAAAAAAGUGCAACUUGAAGACGCAAAGAGAGCUACUGCUGAAAAUAAUAGGCACGCUGCUGUGGAUACCACUGAACUAGAGGAGGACAUAAAGGAAGAGAAGAAUAACAUUGAGCAGAGAGAACUAUCACUGCAGAAGACUAAUGUGAAGUUGUCAGCAGCUUUACGAGAAGUCAAUGAUAGAAGAAUGGCUUUCAAGACCUUUAUGGAUUCUGUGAAUGAGGAGAGAUUACAUUUUAGCAGUGCAAAUGAUGAACUAGAUCUUGUUAAGCGUAAAAUAGAUGCAGCUCAGCAGGAGAAGACUCACUAUGAAGGUGUCAUGACAACUAAAGUUUUACCUGAUAUUAAAACGGCUGAAGCAGAGUAUGCAGAUCUUCAGCAGCGUCGGCAGGAGUACUUCAAGAAGGCUUCGAUUAUUUGCUCUGAGAGUGACAUGGAAGCUCUGAGUCAUGUUGCUGGAUCCACCCCUGAGCAAUUAAGUGCUAAGAUAAAUAGACUGAAACAGAGAUUUGAUCAAGAAAGCAGAAGAUAUGCUGAGUCCAUAGAUGAUCUGAGGGCAUUGCAUGACAAAAAGGAACGGAAAAUCUUAAGAAAGCAACAGCUGUAUGCAGGUUUUAGGGUGAAAUUAAAUUCGUGUCAAAAAGCAUUGGACUUGCGAUGGAAGAAGUUCCAGAGGAAUGCUGGCCUUUUGAAGCGACAAUUGACAUGGCUGUUUAAUGAGCACCUGGGAAAGAAAGGUAUCAGUGGGUUCAUCAACGUAGAUUACAAGAGUAAAAUUUUGUCUGUUGAGCUGACGAUGCCUCAAGAUGCAUCCCGUGAUACCGUCAGAGACACUAGAGGACUGUCAGGAGGGGAGCGAUCUUUUUCAACACUUUGCUUCACUUUAGCUCUUCAUGGAAUGACAGAAGCACCUUUUAGGGCCAUGGAUGAGUUUGAUGUAUUCAUGGAUGCGGUGAGCCGCAAAAUAAGCUUGGACACCCUCGUAGAUUUUGCUGUUGCACAAGGGUCACAAUGGGUAUUUAUAACACCCCAUGAUAUCAGCAUGGUGAAGCCUGGAGAUCGGGUCAAGAAGCAGCAAAUGGCCGCCCCUCGCGGUUGA